CAUCAGCUGCUGUGUUCGUGAAUGGUUACAUGGUCCGGACCGUUAAUGAACAUACAAGGGAGCCAAAGAUUCGGGUUUAAUGAACCGUCCCUUGAGGAUACUUCAGAGAAUGCGACGCGGCGCCCACUUACUGAGUACGGGAACGUGACUCAAAGCCAUGACGGCACAGCGGUGUUUUU
rnacentral:other from 1 species